UCUGUGUGGCUUCAGAUAGGAGUUGGCACA
rnacentral:piRNA from 1 species